rnacentral:rRNA from 1 species
AACGAACGCUGGCGGCAUGCCUAACACAUGCAAGUCGAACGAGAGCUUCGUAUCUACUGGCGCACGGGUGCGUAACGCGGGGGAACCUGCCCUUAGACUCGGAAUACCUCCCCGACAGGGGGGCUAAUACCGGAUAAUUUCUGCGGACCAAGGAUUGAUCGCGCUUGUGUGGGCCGGCGUUGUUUUAGCUUGUGGGUAGUGGAAGAGCCUACCACGGCGUCGCUCCUUAGCUGGGCUGAGAGGAUGCGCAGCGACACUGGGACUGAGCAACGGUCCAGACUCUUAGGGGAGGGAGGAGUGGGGGAUACUGGAAAACGGGGUAAAGGAAGAACGAGCAAUGCUGGGUGAGUGAUUAAGGCCUUAGGGUUGUAAAGCACGUUUAUCCGGGAUGAUAAUGACAGUACCGGGAGAAUAAGCACCGGCUAACUCCGUG